GCUGCAUCCUACAGCUGGGAGUAUGUUUAUUUCAGAUGGGUGUCUUUUCAAGUGGGUGCCUCAACAGUCAAGGCCUAAUGUCAGGAAAUUCUAUGCUCCAAUGUGCCCGGAGAUAUGAAGCAUGACAAGAACUACCACCCAAGCAGUUGUCAGAAUGAAAAGGGUUUGACAGCAGCUCCUCCAGGGGCUUGCCCUUCUCCCGCAAGCCAUCAACAAUGAAGAUGCUCCUGGGAUGGAAGGAUGGUGACUUUCCAGGCAGAAACUGUUUUCAGAAUCUGUACUUGUUUACUCAAAGGGGAUAUCAAAGAAAAAAGUUAAGGCAUUUCUUGAAUGAGGAAGAAAAGUGAAUGACAAGUAGAUUCGAAACUGAAAGCAAUAAAAUGAAUGUGGCUUAAAAAAAAAAAUGCUUUUAAACAAGCGCCCUCCAGCAUCUCAAGAGCAUCAUGACCAGAGAGCGGAGUGCUGUUCUGCCAUCAGAGGAGGACGAGUAGAUCCUGGAUGCGGCCCGAGAGAGACACAAUUCAGAGCUAGGUGGUACCAAGGUAAGUGCACAUGAGGAACUGUUGAGAAGCCAGAUCAAAUUCCUAAACUCUGAGUAGCCUCCGUGUCAGGUUAUGUGGAUUCUAUCAUAGAAGCACUCACAGCCUUCCUGGAGCAUUGCUGCUCAGUUUCCGUUCUGAGCCGCACUGGGGGUGAUCCUUCAGAUAGGAGAAGCCCCGGUAAGGCUAUCACAAGCAAACGUGACAGACUCAGGCAAGACAGUUUUUACCCCAACGCGCCACCAUGAUUGCCUAACCAAGGGGGCAAAAUUAUUAUAGCUGCCACUCUCCCAAAUCGGUGCCCUCCCACCAAAGACUUCCAGGUGGUUUGAGGGACCCCAGUUCCGUGUUCUUCACACUCCAAUUCAGAAGAGGAGACUAUUGAAAGAAUUAUGGUCAUCCUAGUUUAGCCCAUUGUGUAAAUCAUCCACUGCCACCAAAGAAUUGCUCCCCUGGAUUAAUUCUACCAAAACCAUCUGAGAAAACCAAUUCUUGGUACGAUGGGCUACUAUCAGAGAGCUCCGGUUAACGCAUAUGUAACUUCGUGAGCACAGAUGUAACCUGGAAGGAAGACAUACAAAUAUUUAGCUUGAAAGAUUUACAACCAAUCUUUUCGAAGGGAGCAAUGCUUUAAAACGGGGAUCAGCAGAUUACGGUUGGCAUGUCAAAUCCAGUCCACAGUCUGCUCUUGUAAACGAAGUUUUGAUGGAACACAGCCACGCUCAUUAAUUUAUGUGUUGCCUAUGGCUGCUUUCGUACUCAACAGCAGUGUUGGGUAGUUGCAAUGGAAAUUAUAUGGCUUGCAAAGGCUAAAAUGUUUA